GGAGCGAGCUAGGCACACCACGAUUUGAGGAAGCUGCGUGCAGAAAAAAACGUGCGCGCAGGGACGAGCUCGACAGGGAUCUUGGCGAGACCACGGCGCUGGAAGUCGAGCGCAAUCCGAGCUGGGCGAGCUGCACCAAGGAGCAGCAGCCGGCCAUGGGAGGUGGCGGCCAAGCAAGCUGGGGAUGGCCGACGGCGCUGGGGCUGGACGCGCUGGAUACCGAGCGCGAACAGGAAGAAGCGGAGGCCGAGCUGGGCACCGGCGCGCGUCAUGGGAGAGAGCAGAGCGAGCUCCGGCCAGGAAAUUGGCGAGCUGGGAGAUGGAGCUGAGAGGGCUGCGCAGCGGCCAGGCGAGCUGGGCAAGACCUCGGCUGGGCGGACCAUGGCGGACAGAAACAACGAGGCAGCUCGACGUGCUCAACUGCCGUGGGAGAUAAGACCGGCGGCAAGGCAAGAAAUAUCCCAGGCGGAGGAGAUAAAUGAAGAGAGAGACACGAAUGAAGAAGAAGAUAAGGAAGAGAACUGCGCUCGGCGGUAGGAAAAUCAGGAAUAGAGAAAGCGGCUGGAAAAAUCUGAAGGGGAGGCCGCGGUAGGAGAUGAGAACGACUUGAGCUGCGGUGGAUGGAUUGGAACGUGAGAAGAUUUUUCCUUUUUCAGAUUUUUAAUUUCUUUAACUGAAAAAUCUCAGAUAUUUGUGGUUCUGAUAUUUAAAUUUGAGAUAUAUUUAAAAGGUCAAACCAAAA
rnacentral:misc_RNA from 1 species